UAGGGAAUCUUCGGCAAUGGGGGGAACCCUGACCGAGCAACGCCGCGUGAGUGAAGAAGGUUUUCGGAUCGUAAAGCUCUGUUGUUAAGGAAGAACGAGUGUGAGAAUGGAAAGUUCAUACUGUGACGGUACUUAACCAGAAAGGGACGGCUAACUACGUGCCAGCAGCCGCGGUAAUACGUAGGUCCCGAGCGUUGUCCGGAUUUAUUGGGCGUAAAGCGAGCGCAGGCGGUUAGAUAAGUCUGAAGUUAAAGGCAGUGGCUCAACCAUUGUAUGCUUUGGAAACUGUUUCACUUGAGUGCAGAAGGGGAGAGUGGAAUUCCAUGUGUAGCGGUGAAAUGCGUAGAUAUAUGGAGGAACACCGGUGGCGAAAGCGGCUCUCUGGUCUGUAACUGACGCUGAGGCUCGAAAGCGUGGGUAGCAAACAGG
rnacentral:rRNA from 1 species